rnacentral:rRNA from 1 species
AUUGAACGCUGGCGGCAGGCCUAACACAUGCAAGUCGAACGAGUGGCGGACGGGUGAGUAAUGUCUGGGAAACUGCCCGAUGGAGGGGGAUAACUACUGGAAACGGUAGCUACUACCGCAUACCAUCGGAUGUGCCCAGAUGGGAUUAGCUAGUAGGUGGGGUAAAGGCUCCCCUAGGCGACGCUCCCUAGCUGGUCUUAGAGGAUGACCAGCCACAUUGGAACUGAGACACGGGCCAGACUCUUACGGGAGGCAGCAUUGGGGAAUAUUGCACAAUGGGCGCAAGCCUGAUGAAGCCAUGCCGGGUGUAUGAAGAAGGCCUUCGGGUUGUAAAGUACUUGCAGCGGGGAGGCGUGACCCGCAGAAGAAGCACCGGCUAACUCCGUGCCAGCAGCCGCGGUAAUAC